CUACGGGUGGCAGCGGUGGGGAAUAUUGCACAAUGGAGGAAACUCUGAUGCAGCAACGCCGCGUGGAGGAUGACACUUUUCGGAGCGUAAACUCCUUUUAUAUAGGAAGAAGAUGACGGUACUAUAUGAAUAAGCGCCGGCUAACUCCGUGCCAGCAGCCGCGGUAAUACGGAGGGCGCAAGCGUUACUCGGAAUCACUGGGCGUAAAGAGCGUGUAGGCGGAUUAAAAAGUCAGAAGUGAAAUCCUAUAGCUUAACUAUAGAACUGCUUCUGAAACACUUAAUCUAGAAUAUGGGAGAGGAUAGGAUGUAUUUGGUGGUGAGGGGGGAAAAGCAUGAAAAAUAGUAAGAAAUCCCGAUUGAGAAGGCGAUCUAAUAAAACAUUGUUGACGCGGAUACGCGAAAUUUGGGGGGGCAAAGGGGUUUAAAUGCCCUUGUAGUC
rnacentral:rRNA from 1 species